rnacentral:rRNA from 1 species
AUUGAACGCUGGCGGCAGGCCUAACACAUGCAAGUCGAACGAGUGGCGGACGGGUGAGUAAUGUCUGGGAAACUGCCCGAUGGAGGGGGAUAACUACGGGAAACGGUAGCUAAUACCGCAUACCAUCGGAUGUGCCCAGAUGGGAUUAGCCAGUAGGUGGGGUAACGGCUCACCAAGGCGACGAUCCCUAGCUGGUCUGAGAGGAUGACCAGCCACACCGGAACUGAGACACGGUCCAGACUCCUACGGGAGGCAGCAGGGGGGAAUAUUGCGGAAUGGGCGCAAGCCUGAUACAGCCAUGCCGCGUGAAUGAAGAAGGCCUUCGGGUUGUAAAGUUCUGUCAGUGAGGAGGCGUUAAUCGCAGAAGAAGCACCGGCUAACUCCGUGCCAGCCGCCGCGGUAAUUC